CUUUAUUAAAAUACCUCUCGCAUGUCGGCAGUGUCUGUCAGCGCUUCAAAUGGCAAACUUAUUUUGUACAAAAUCGUUGACAUGGUAGAUGGACACUGCAGUAUAAUAUUUAUAGCUGAACUGGAAAUUACAAUUGAUAAGAUAUCACAUUGGUUUGAGCAUGAUUCCCAGCCAGAUUAUGAAGGGCAUAUAUCAUGUAUACAUAGGAAAUAUAUAGUGUCACUAAAUUACUCAAAUACGGUACCUCAUUUGUACCUGUAGCUGUAAAUUGUGAAAUGGUGGAUUCAUUCAUAAUUUUGAGUUACUUAUUGCGUUUGGAAAUAAGGUUGAUAAAGCUAACAGCAUUAUGCCAUGAUGUUGAUGGGAUGUUCUGAUUGUACAAAAAGGAAAUUGUGAAUUGAACAAAUAGCAAACCUACAAUUCAUAGGAAAAAAUGUAGGAAAUUGGAAUAAUGGAAAUUCAUGGUUUCUGUGAUUAUCUUGCAAUCAUUGUCAAUACUAAAAGUGCAUCAUCAUGAUCAUACAAGUAUAUAUCUGAAUUCACCUUGGAUAAUUAUUCAUUUAAAAUAUUAAAGAAUUUGGAUAUAAUAAGAAUUUCUAUGCUGCCAUUGCUACUGUUGGCUACAUGUACCACCAUGGUGUGUUAAACCUUCUUGACCUUCCAUGAGGGUCUGUCACGGUCGGUCCGUCACUAUUAUUUAGUGUCAUAUGCAUGAUGAUGGAAGUUUCACCAACCUAGACAAGCUUUACAGCCCUGGUACAGUUGUUGGUUAGAGUCAAAUGACAGCUUGCUGUAUACAUUUGUAGUUAUAAUAGUCUGAAUGUACAAUGAUGUAUCUUCAUGUAUUUUGAUAAUCUUCUAAAUUACUGUUCAUUCUAAAACUGGCAUUUUAUACUAGUACAUGUACAUGUAGUAGUCGAACAUAUUAAACAAUACAUGUACUUCAAAG